UGGGGAAUAUUGCACAAUGGGCGAAAGCCUGAUGCAGCGACGCCGCGUGAGGGAUGACGGCCUUCGGGUUGUAAACCUCUUUCAGUAGGGACGAAGCGCAAGUGACGGUACCUGCAGAAGAAGCACCGGCUAACUACGUUCCAGCAGCCGCGGUAAUACGUAGGGUGCGAGCGUUGUCCGGAAUUACUGGGCGUAAAGAGCUAGUAGGCGGUUUGUCACGUCGUCUGUGAAAUCCUAGGGCUUAACCCUGGACGUGCAGGCGAUACGGGCUGACUUGAGUACGACAGGGGAGAGUAGAAUUUCUGGUGUAGCGGUGGAAUGCACAGAUAUCAGGAAGAACACCGAUGGCGAAGGCAGGUCUCUGGGUAGUAACUGACGCUGAGGAGCGAAAGCAUGGGUAGCGAACAGG
rnacentral:rRNA from 1 species